CAGAACACUGAGCCGCCGCCAUGGAUGCUGAAACAAACCAGAGAUGAUCUGAUCUCUUCUGACCUCUAUCUAUAUCUUGUGCUAUCAUUUCUUCCUCCCAAAACCCUUCUCCUCCGGUCGCCCAAAGAUCCCAAGCUGAAGAACCAGAAAAAAUGGACGAGUUCUCAUAUCAUUCUGAGAUCUCAGAUCUGUCAAGGAAAAGAGCAAAACCGAGAAGAGACAAACCUAGAGAUGAAUCUGCUACACGUAUUUCGAAUGUAAUAAUGGUAAACGUGCUGGGACAAGAUAUUUAUCACCAAGCAUAUUAUUACAGUGCAGAAAGACAAGAAGACAACACGGUUAGCAACAAAUUCUCAAACAAAUUGUUUGUUUACAUACUAACAUUUUUUAAGUGAUUAUGAAUACAAAAAUUACUCCUAUAAAUGUUUUAGGUGCUGAAAAAUUCAAAUCAACAUGGUCAACAUCUACAAUCAGAUGGAAAUUCAAUUCAUGUGACUCGGGAGGUUAUUUUCUUAUUUUGCAGCAUAAAAAAAAGAAAAAGAAGAACUAACCUGUUGCUUAUUCCUUCUGUAGAACCCAGUAGUUGCGCACAGCUAUGGAGUACAUGAAGACCAACUGUGCGCUGCACAAAAGAAAGAACCAACUAAAGAGGAAUUAAUUGAAGUUCGGUUUGGAAAGCAAAGUUGCCAAAUGAUUAAUGAAUUGCUA